AGUGAACGCUGGCGGUAGGCCUAACACAUGCAAGUCGAACGGCAGCACAGUAAGAUCUUGCUCUUAUGGGUGGCGGGUGGCGGACGAGUGAGGAAUAGAUCGGAAUCUACUUUUUCGUGGGUGACAACGUAGGGAAACUUACGCUACUACAGCAUACUAUCUACGGGUUAAUGCAGAGGAUAUUCGGACCUUUCGCGAUUGAUUGAGCCGAUGUCGGAUUCGCUAGUUGUCGGGGUAAAGGCCCACGAAGGCGGCGAUCCGUAGCCGGCCUGAGAGGGUGAUCGGCCACACUGGGACUGAGACACGGCCCGGCCUCCUACGGGAGGCAGCAGUAGGGAAUCUUGCACAAUGGGCGAAAGCCUGAUGGAGCAAUGCCGCGUGAAUGAAGAAGGUCUUCGGAUCGUAAAGUUCUGUUAUUAGAGAAGAACAAGUCAAGGAGUAACUCCCGUGACUUUGACGGUACCUAAACAGAAAGCCACGGCUAACUUCGUG
rnacentral:rRNA from 1 species